ACUCCUACGGGAGGCAGCAGUGGGGAAUAUUGCACAAUGGGGGAAACCCUGAUGCAGCCAUGCCGCGUGUGUGAAGAAGGCCUUGGGUUGUAAAGCACUUUCAGUAGGGAGGAAGGUAGUGUAGUUAACACCUGCAUUAUUUGUACGUUACCUACAGAAGAAGCACCGGCUAACUCCGUGCCAGCAGCCGCGGUAAGUACGGAGGGUGCGAGCGUUAAUCGGAAUUACUGGGCGUAAAGCGCAUGCAGGCGGCCUGUUAAGUCAGAUGUGAAAGCCCGGGGCUUAACCGUCGGAAUUGCAUUUGAAACUGGCAGGCUAGAGUCUUGUAGAGGGGUUAGAAUUUCAGGUGUAGCGGUGAAAUGCGUAGAGAUCUGAAGG
rnacentral:rRNA from 1 species